UACGGAGGAUCCAAGCGUUAUCCGGAAUUACUGGGCGUAAAGAGUUGCGUAGGUGGCAUCGUAAGCGGGUAGUGAAAGCGUGUGGCUCAACCAUACUCACAUUAUCCGAACUGCGGAGCUAGAGGGCGAGAGAGGUUAUUGGAAUUCUCAGUGUAGGAGUGAAAUCCGUAGAUAUUGGGAGGAACACCGAUGGCGUAGGCAGAUAACUGGCUCGUCCCUGACACUAAGGCACGAAAGCGUGGGUAGCAAACGGG
rnacentral:rRNA from 1 species